GUGGGUCUUCAGGACCAAGGAGCUGAUGCUGAGGUCUGGCAGCGCCGUGCCCGAGGGGAGCCUGGUCUAUGUGCGGGAAGGGAGCAGUGCCUUCCUCCGGACCCCCACUGGCUGGAGCCGCCUCCUGCUGGAGGAUUCAAAGUCGCUCUUUGCUGGUGAUGACCCCUCUGCUUCCACCCCACGGUACCAGGAGGCAAAGCGGGAGCAGACAAAAGGUCCUGACAUGGCACCGCCUGCGUUGACCCC